AGUGAACGCUGGCGGUAGGCCUAACACAUGCAAGUCGAACGGCAGCACAGUAAGAGCUUGCUCUUACGGGUGGCGAGUGGCGGACGGGUGAGGAAUACAUCGGAAUCUACUUUGUCGUGGGGGAUAACGUAGGGAAACUUACGCUAAUACCGCAUACGACCUACGGGUGAAAGCAGGGGAUCUUCGGACCUUGCGCGAUUGAAUGAGCCGAUGUCGGAUUAGCUAGUUGGCGGGGUAAAGGCCCACCAAGGCGACGAUCCGUAGCUGGUCUGAGAGGAUGAUCAGCCACACUGGAACUGAGACACGGUCCAGACUCCUACGGGAGGCAGCAGUGGGGAAUAUUGGACAAUGGGCGCAAGCCUGAUCCAGCCAUACCGCGUGGGUGAAGAAGGCCUUCGGGUUGUAAAGCCCUUUUGUUGGGAAAGAAAAGCAGCAGGUUAAUACCCCGCUGUUCUGACGGUACCCAAAGAAUAAGCACCGGCUAACUUCGUG
rnacentral:rRNA from 1 species